rnacentral:rRNA from 1 species
UACGUAGGGGGCUAGCGUUGUCCGGAUUUAUUGGGCGUAAAGAGCGUGUAGGCGGCCUGACAGGUCUGCUGUGAAAACUCGAGGCUCAACCUCGAGAUGUCGGCGGAAACCGUCUGGCUAGAGUCCGGAAGAGGAGAGUGGAAUUCCUGGUGUAGCGGUGAAAUGCGCAGAUAUCGGGAGGAACACCAAUGGCGAAGGCAGCUCGCUGGGACGGUACUGACGCUGAGACGCGAAAGCGUGGGGAGCAAACAGG